rnacentral:lncRNA from 1 species
GGGACACCUUAGUUCUAUUUCCUGUGUUGCAGACAUCUCUAUGGCCUCAUCUUGUUUCUGAAUUAAAACAUAAAACCCUAGGCUAUUGAGACAGACAAACCCCAACCAGAGCUAACAUAGUAGUUCCUAAUCUGAUUGCUCUGAUUUGGCAUUAGGGGACCUAAGGAAGGUAUUAUGACCAAAAUGCUAAUAGUAGCUUAUGUUGGAGUGGUGGAUUGAAG